CGUGACGACAUUCUCGCUCUACAGCGAUUGAAUGUGUUGGCUUGUUGAGCACGAACUCCUCCACCCUCGACGGACACACAGAUUUGGGCGUGGGCGUGCUCCCUUCACGGUUGACGCUGCCGUCUUUUCGUGAGCCGCCAUCCUCGGCUCUCCCUGCCGAUGAUCACACCGGUGUUUGAGUGCAGCCAGGAGGGUGGCUUUGUCGUCAUUCGCCUCGUCCUCUCCGCCAUCUGCAAGGUGACGAACGCCGUGUUUGACAUCCACGAGACGCAGUUCACCUUCUACUGCUCCCCGUACUACCUGCGCCUGCGCUUCGACCAAUGCCUGCAGGAGGGCAAGGGAGAGCGGGCUACGUACGACUUGGAGGCAAACGUGCUCACGGUGUACCUUCCAAAAGCAAACCCGGCGGAGGUCUUCACGAAGCUCGAUAACCCGGCCUACCUCAUCGCGACAGAGAAGCAGCGUGCUUCGCUUAUUCAGGUCCUCAGCGUCGCCAACUCGAGCGACGACGCCACUGGCGUGGGUGAGGAGCUGGAGGAGACCGAGUACAUACAAUCCUUGCCGGAUGCCACCGCGAUUGGCAGCGCCGCGGACCGGAGCGAGAGCCUGGCGCCGGCGGCGCAGUGCAGCUACGGCUUCGCAAACGCGUUCAGCGGACUCUUCCAGAAGCUCGAUGCAGAUGUUGUGCGCGAGGUGGUGAGUCUGCGCGAUAAUCCUGAGUGCACCACGCGCGAAGAGCGCCGGCGAUUGCGCCUCGCUGCUGAGAUGACCGAUUUUGACGUAGAUGCGCUGCUUUUUGCCUUUGAGGACUCGGACGGGGAGGUGGCGCAGGUGUUGCGGUACGUCCCUGCCCACAUUAGGGACUUUGAAAAUGCUCUGCACGGCAACGCUGCCGGGUCGGGAGAGGAGCAGGCGUCGUUGUCGGUGAUGUUCGCGAGUAUCCCUGAAUUGGGCGCGGGCAGGGCAGAUCCGCUGGAAGAGGAGGAGACGACGCUGCUCCCAGGCGACGAUGCGCGACCGGUCACAGUGUGGAGCGGCAACGUUGCCGACUUCAAGAAGCCGCUCAUCGAGGAGCUGAAUCCUGCUGUCGACGACGAGCGAGAGCCGACAGCAUCAGAGGCGGCGGCAGCCGCACCAGCCGCCUCUGUGUCUUUUCAAGCGGCCGCUAAUGCUGCUGCGCCGCCUGGGCCGCGUACGCGGCUGGCGAUUCCUCGAGUGUGCCCGUCGCUGAAGUUUACUCGAGAGGAGACGGAGGUGCUGAUGCGCGUAAAGCUGCCGCGGCUGCUUUUUCCUCCCUCGCCGGCAGAGGUGGAGGCGCUGACGGCGGACCUCCUCUUUAGCGAGGCCUACGACGACCUCGUGACGGAGGGCAGCGGCUGCAGCGAGUCCUUGUGGAACCUCACACAACUGAGCCCGGCCCUCUCCUACCUCGACCCGGCGGACACACUCUACGACGCAUGCGUCGCGUUUGCGCGCCGCGCGCUAGUGUACCCGCUGUACCGCCACUGCGCCCUGCUGCAGCGGGUGUGGGCGGUGGUGGGUACACGGCUACUGCUGGGGCGCAACUACACCAUCCGUGCCCUUUUACGCAUGCGCAUUAUUCUGUCCCACGCGGAGCACAAACACCUCUUGUCGACCAUCUACCUGGACCCUCUGAUUGCAUACUGGAUGCACGUUUCCGAGGCGGACGAGCGGCUGAUACGCAUGGCGCUCGAGAUCCACCAGCACGUCUCCCGGACGGAGCCGAUGACGGUGUCGGCGGCGUCGACGCGGGGGGCUUCUGCUCUGCAGUCGAUGUUGGUGGAUGCGAAGAAGGUGACGCUCUACCCGCUUACGCUCGUGCACCUCGGACUCCCGUUAUCGGAGGAGGAGGAGGGUCGCUGCGAGGGGUGAUAGUCUGCGUGAGUUUGUGUGCCUUCUUUAGCUGUUGUCCGCUGCCGUUGGACUCGGCAUCCUGUGGGAAUGCUAAGGAUGCGCUGGACGAGAGCGAUACGCGUAUAAGCUGUUUCCAGCGCACAGG
rnacentral:misc_RNA from 1 species